rnacentral:lncRNA from 1 species
UAUAUAAAAAUGAAAAAGCGAUGAAAUAAAUUUCUUGCAAAAGUGAACAAUGAAACCCAUGUUUAGGGGCAAUGGAUCUUUUGUUAACAUAAAUUAUUCUUAUAAAGAAAACAAAUGCAUCUUUUCCUUUCAGUAAAGAAAAGAAAAGCGUUCAUAUAAUUGAAUAACAACAGUCUGUGAUCCCAUAAUAAUGCAUAAAUUCUUGCUAAACCAAAACAUAAUUGAAUCUCAGACUUCUAAGUAUUAUGUUAAUAUCCAUCAUGGUUUGUUGUAAAGUAAGGAAACCUUAUUUCUUGCCUGUUUUCACACACUACUACUUGUGUUUGUGGUGGUGGACUAGUUGCAUCAAUGUUAAAGCUGCAAAUCACAGUUUGAAACCAGAUGAUUCACUGAAUGCCACCACAACCCCGCUAUAUGCGUGGACGCCAUAUGAAACAGGACAAUUGAGAGGCAUGGGAGGACAAAAUAUUGCAAGGACCAAUAUGCGCUACGGAUAUAAUAGCGACGAAGGUUGCGAAAUAUGGGAGAUACCCACCUGCAGGAACCCUGAUGAUGUAUUUGAGAUCAGGACAGGUUACCCUCAUUUUUCGGAUAAUGAUACAAGAAAUGAAACAAAUACAAGUAAUGGCAUAGGUGAUUACCAGACUAGUUGCUGGAGCAAUUGUAGCUGUGUUGGAUUCAAGUCAUAUGAUAAUGAAUAUGGUACUUGAUGUACUUUCUUUCUUGGGAAAUCAUUGGAAGAUUUACUUUUGUCAGUGUUGGCCUACAGUUUAAUAUGCUAGUGAAGAAACCUCAUCUUAGAGGAACUAAUUAGUCCACUAUCAUUUCAUAUGUUCAUGCUGCAUUCUUUGUAUUUUUAAAGUAAUCAAAAGGAUUGUUAAACUCUACUUGACAAGUCUGAAAUGACAUUUUAAAAUUUUUGAUACAGUUUUGUCAUACUUUAUCUCUUGAUUAUAUUCAUCCACUUCAUCUCUACUAAGAAAGCAAUCAAUUGUGGAAUUAGAUCAAAUAGCAUCUGUUAGAUUCUUCAAAAACGUAGCAGUACAUGCUUUAAUGAACAUGACCCCUCCAUUCUCAAUCUGUAUAUUUCACCUUUUCAUCUAAACAGCAAGGGAAGAAAAACAAUGCAAACAGAGAUGCAAGAUUUUAGAACUUACAAAGGAUCCAAUAGUAUACAAGACCUAGAAGAUGACUUGAACAAGGGAUAUGAUUUAAAAGUAUUUAGCUAUACAUCAGUUGUGGAAGCUAUAAGCAACUUUUCAUCCGAAAAUAAGUUAGGACAAGGAGGCUUUGUGCAUGUUUAUAAGGUGACUUGAAUUGAAACCAAUGAAAUCUUGUUAAAUACUGCAUUAGAUUGUUUCUUGUAGAGGAAUAAUGAGCUUUUAAUUUUCACAUUAGGGAAUUCUGCUAAGAGGAUAAGAGGUUGUAGUGAAAAAACUUUCAAAAACUUCUGGACAAGAAAUCGUAGAAUUCAAAAAUGAAUUAACACUCAUAUGUGAACUUAGCACAUGAAUCUUGUAUGAUUGCUUGGUUAAUGUAUUCAUGAAUAGGAGAUGAUGUUUAUGAGUAUAUAUAUGUAUAAUAAAGGCUUGAAUUUCUUUCUAUUCACUGAGUAAUAUAUUCGAGUCUAUUCAACUUAUGUUUUGGGUGAAAAAUUAAAUAAAUGAAGUUUUAUUCCUGUGCUUGGACUUGCUGCACCAAACCAUAGCAUAUGCUAGGAAUCUUAAUGACUUUCGGCAGCUUAAAUUUUAAUAAGUUUGGAUGAUGUUUAUCUGCAUUAACUUGUGUUCCAAAGUUCAUAAUCAUGACAUUAACUAAUAACUAGUAGGCCUAAAUAAGGAAUCAAAAUCAUGUUUGUUAUGUUAAUUGUGUAUUAAUAUAAUGUUUUCUACUAGAAGAAAUUUGCUAAACUGGGAGAAGUGCUUCAACAUAAUAGAAGGAAAUUCACAAGGACUACUUUACAUUUUUACAAGUACUCAAUACUCAAAAUUAUUCAGAGACUUGAAGGUCAGUAACAUACUAUAUACUAUUUCUUGAUAAAAAUAUGAACAAAAAAAUUUCUGAUUUUGGCAUGGCAAGAAUUUCUAUUACCUAUAUAAUAAAAAAAACUCUCUCAUGACAUGUGUCAAUCUCUCAAGCCCUAAUGACAUGUGUCAACCUCUCAUCAAAACUAAAGGUCCCUCAUGACAUGUAUCAAUCUCUCAAUGACAUGUGUCAAUCUCUCAAGAACUCCAUCAUGACAUGUGUCAAUCUCUCAAGUCCUCAUGACAUGUGAUUUAUUUAAAAAUAAAAUGAAUAUGAUUACCUAUACAAUAUUAAAAUAUAAUGUUACUAUAGCAAUAUUAAAAUAAUAAUAAUAAUAUGAAUCAUAACAUAUUGUUUGUAGCUAUUUUAGAGUUAAAUAAUAUUUAUUUUUAUACUAA